rnacentral:rRNA from 1 species
CCUACGGGAGGCAGCAGUGGGGAAUUUUGGACAAUGGGCGCAAGCCUGAUCCAGCCAUGCCGCGUGCGGGAAGAAGGCCUUCGGGUUGUAAACCGCUUUUGUCAGGGAAGAAAUCUUCUGGGUUAAUACCUCGGGAGGAUGACGGUACCUGAAGAAUAAGCACCGGCUAACUACGUGCCAGCAGCCGCGGUAAUACGUAGGGUGCGAGCGUUAAUCGGAAUUACUGGGCGUAAAGCGUGCGCAGGCGGUCUUGCAAGACAGGUGUGAAAUCCCCGGGCUUAACCUGGGAACUGCACUUGUGACUGCAAGGCUGGAGUACGGCAGAGGGGGAUGGAAUUCCGCGUGUAGCAGUGAAAUGCGUAGAUAUGCGGAGGAACACCGAUGGCGAAGGCAAUCCCCUGGGCCUGUACUGACGCUCAUGCACGAAAGCGUGGGGAGCAAACAGGAUUAGAUACCCUGGUAGUCCACGCCCUAAACGAUGUCAACUGGUUGUUGGACGGCUUGCUGUUCAGUAACGAAGCUAACGCGUGAAGUUGACCGCCUGGGGAGUACGGCCGCAAGGUUGAAACUCAAAUGAAUUGACGG